rfam:Stagonospora sp. SRC1lsM3a unplaced genomic scaffold IQ06scaffold_5, whole genome shotgun sequence.
GCAUCGAUAGUUUAGGGGUAGAAUUGAAGCUUCCCAAGCCACUGCUGGUCUGCUUCAGGCACGGGUUCGAGUCCCGUUCGAUGCA